CUCCACACAUCUAAACAGACUACUGUUGAAACCAGGCGGCAAUCUCCGUGUCUGAGCAUGGAGGCAAACCAGGAAGUACCUUAAGCUGCAUUCUACCGAAAAUUCCAGUUGGGGUAAGUUUGGCUGCAAAAAAAAUCUGUCCAUUAAUUUCAGUGCCAAAUGGCGUGGCUACCUUUGAUUGACAGGUGGCUAACAGGGUGAGCCAUCAGGGGAGAAGCAGAACAAUGUGUCAAUAAAGUUAUACAUAACGUUAUAUAGAUAUCAAAAAGGACGUUUACCGGUUUGGUCUCAUAAAUUUGACCCUUUCACACUGUAUUUUCACUUAAUGACAGUUUAUUUAAACGUUUUGUACAGUAAAAAUGUCUUGUUCAGCGUUUGGUUGGACACUCCAAGGAGUCGCUGUUCAUUUUUCUGAGAGGCUGACUCAAGGAUAUAGAGAAGAUACUGGUAUCAUAUGAAACCAGAAGAUCUGAGGAAUCCAUUGAUACCAUGGGUUACACACCAGGUGAUCUGAUGGAUCAGAAUUAACCUUCAAGUGGGAAGAAAGAGUUGGUGCAUAAUAGGAUGGUGUCUAGUGUAUCUCCUUCAGUAUUGGCCUCCUACUCUACUAAUGUAAGUCUGACCAGAGCUGUUUUUAUUAUGCUUCUCUGCUUAUGUUUUAGUAUCUUCUUUCUCGUGUACCAAGAGAGAGCACUGGCCUGUGAUUCAAGAAGUAAUCAUGGUGUGUAACACUUCAUGCAAGUUUUCUAUACUUCCUUUAAAAACCAACAUGAGUCACUAUACUAUAAG